rnacentral:rRNA from 1 species
GUGGGGAAUCUUGCGCAAUGGGCGAAAGCCUGACGCAGCCAUGCCGCGUGAAUGAUGAAGGUCUUAGGAUUGUAAAAUUCUUUCACCGGGGACGAUAAUGACGGUACCCGGAGAAGAAGCCCCGGCUAACUUCGUGCCAGCAGCCGCGGUAAUACGAAGGGGGCUAGCGUUGCUCGGAAUUACUGGGCGUAAAGGGCGCGUAGGCGGACAGUUUAGUCAGAGGUGAAAGCCCAGGGCUCAACCUUGGAAUUGCCUUUGAUACUGGCUGUCUUGAGUACGGGAGAGGUGAGUGGAACUCCGAGUGUAGAGGUGAAAUUCGUAGAUAUUCGGAGGAACACCAGUGGCGAAGGCGGCUCACUGGCUCGAUACUGACGCUGAGGUGCGAAAGCGUGGGGAGCAAACAGGAUUAGAUACCCCAGUAGUCC